UCCUGGAAUAUGUCCAAUGU
rnacentral:snRNA from 1 species